CAGCAGCCGCGGGAAUACGAAGGGGGCUAGCGUUGCUCGGAUUAACUGGGCGUAAAGGGCGCGUAGGCGGGUCUUUAAGUCAGGGGUGAAAUCCCAAGGCUCAACCUUGGAACUGCCUUUGAUACUGGAGAUCUUGAGUUCGGAAGAGGUUGGUGGAACAGCUAGUGUAGAGGUGAAAUUCGUAGAUAUUAGCUAGAACACCAGUGGCGAAGGCGGCCAACUGGUCCGACACUGACGCUGAGGUGCGAAAGCGUGGGGAGCAAACAGGAUUAGAUACCCCUGUAGUCCCUGUCUCUUAUAC
rnacentral:rRNA from 1 species